rnacentral:tRNA from 1 species
CCCAAAGAGCUCAGUUGGGAGAGCGUUAGACUAGAGAUCAAAGGGUCCCUGGUUCGAUCCCGGGUUCGGCA